UACGAAGGGGGCUAGCGUUGCUCGGAAUCACUGGGCGUAAAGCGCACGUAGGCGGAUUGUUAAGUCAGGGGUGAAAUCCUGGAGCUCAACUCCAGAACUGCCUUUGAUACUGGCGAUCUUGAGUUCGGGAGAGGUGAGUGGAACUGCGAGUGUAGAGGUGAAAUUCGUAGAUAUUCGCAAAGAACACCAGUGGCGAAGGCGGCUCACUGGCCCGAUACUGACGCUGAGGUGCGAAAGCGUGGGGAGCAAACAGG
rnacentral:rRNA from 1 species